UAGGGAAUCUUCGGCAAUGGGGGCAACCCUGACCGAGCAACGCCGCGUGAGUGAAGAAGGUUUUCGGAUCGUAAAGCUCUGUUGUAAGUCAAGAACGGGUGUGAGAGUGGAAAGUUCACACUGUGACGGUAGCUUACCAGAAAGGGACGGCUAACUACGUGCCAGCAGCCGCGGUAAUACGUAGGUCCCGAGCGUUGUCCGGAUUUAUUGGGCGUAAAGCGAGCGCAGGCGGUUUGAUAAGUCUGAAGUUAAAGGCUGUGGCUCAACCAUAGUUCGCUUUGGAAACUGUCAAACUUGAGUGCAGAAGGGGAGAGUGGAAUUCCAUGUGUAGCGGUGAAAUGCGUAGAUAUAUGGAGGAACACCGGUGGCGAAAGCGGCUCUCUGGUCUGUAACUGACGCUGAGGCUCGAAAGCGUGGGGAGCGAACAGGAUUAGAUACCCUGGUAGUCCACGCCGUAAACGAUGAGUGCUAGGUGUUGGAUCCUUUCCGGGAUUACA
rnacentral:rRNA from 1 species